CUCUUAUCAAGAGAGGUGGAGGGAUAGGGCCCUGUGAAACCCGGCAACCUGUAUUAAUAUAAGGUGCCAAUUCCUGUAGAUAUAUGAUUCUACAAGAUAAGAA
rnacentral:ncRNA from 2 species